rnacentral:lncRNA from 1 species
GUUUUCUCUGAUUGCACUGGAGGUGCCCAAGAAUCUAGACUGUGUCAUUUCCAUAUUUACUGCCACCUGGUGACAUGGUACUCUUCCCUAUAGGUACUGAGUGGCGUUUCAAACCUAAAAUGGGACUUGUAGGCCCCAGAGCCUCAGCAGGCCCACUGUCAGCUCAGCUCAGCCUCUGCACCCCUCCCGGAGGCAACCAGACUGCUUUAGCUCUGUUUUCUUUCUGAUAAGCUGAUGGUAAAGGGGAGCACUGGCCUAAGAGUCUGACACAGAGGGAUUCGAGUCUCUGCUAUUCCUUAUUUGCUUCUGCACAUUUGCUUAGUCUUUGAGCCUCCAUUUCUCCAGGUAAACAAUGGGAAUGAGGACCCUGACCUCCCAGAGGAGGCUGUAAGGAAUAGCAUGGUGUUCGGAGUUGGCCGAGCCAGGCAGCACGGCGGGUUUGGGAAGUGAGGAUCCACGAACCCCUCCCCCAAAGGAGCCACGCCAAAUAGCGGGAUGUGGGAAGAAUAUUCACAGAGUACAAGUUCACCCCCUCAGCCAUGGGCCUUGAUCAACAAGCCCUUGAUCACCAAGACCAGACAGCAAAGGGAAGGACCUGUAACCGUUCUCCUCUCCGGUGUGGCUGGAAGAAGAGCCUUCCUCCCCAGCUGUCCCUUCUGUGCAAGCCUCAGCGUCUGGGCUGUCUAGACGGAGCUGCCAUUUCCACCUGGAGGUCUGGGUCUGUGGUCCACAGGGCUGCUGCACAGGCUGGGACUGCCGGCUAGGCCAGGAGACCUGGCAGCUGUGGACUCCCUAGCUCGGAGCAGCCCCUCUUUGACCUCG